AAGUGCUUGGGGUUUACCAUUCACCCCAAGCACUUAGACCUCCCUUUUCACAACAUCACAUAGGUUAAUUUGCAAAAAUUUCCAACCCAUUCCAAUUUCAUAUCCCGCCUUUUGUUCACACACCCUUUCUUUCUCGGUUCUCGCUGCUUUGCUGCCCCAACACCGCCACCUGCGUUUCCUCCUCCUUUCCAUAAGCAAAAGCAACCGCCUCAUCUCCUCCCCUCUCCUGUGCGCACUUCCGCCGUCUCUGGCUCUCCUUCCACUGGCCACCUCAAGGGUUCUUCGUGAAUCUCGAAACUCGUCAGCUUCAAUGGCGAUGCAAGCUAGAUUAGGCGUAUCUCAACUUCUCUUGUUAAUCGGACCUGGUUAUACCGGAAUUGUUCUUGUCAAAAAACGACAAUAAUUUGGUAAUGAUUAUUGUUCCUCUCUCUCAUUCUGCAAAAUUCACAAGUUCAAAUUCAAUGAAAAAAAAAGCACCUAGAAAUUGAUUUUAAUGAUUCGUUAGUCUGGUUAUAAGUUUUCGAUUUGUAGGUAUGUUAAUGGGUUGAUAGCUUUUGUUUGUACAAAUGUUGAGAACCCUCAAUUGCUGGAGGUUUAUUUUUGGUACAUAUUAUCAUUUUCUUGAUUACCCAUUUCUAUCUUCUCCAACUAAACACUGAGAAAAGUAGAAAUUUCACAAGAACUGGUGAAAUUGGUGAUACCCAGAUUGUUGUCAGGUUCAGUUUUGGUCUUCGUUUUUGUUGGGAAACCUAAUUCUUGUAGAAUUAUCCGCGAAAUUCACUUAUUUGACAUUUGGAAUCAACAAAAUGGCGUCAUUUGAGAUGGAUGAUAGAAAAAGUAAGUGUAUGCUGACUUAUGUUUCAUUAUUAGUUGAUUUUUGUUAAGAUUAUUGCACUUUCUUAAGUUCCUUUAUCGUUCAUAAUUGAGAUUGGUGGUUUUCCGGUUUUCAAAGAGAUCACUCUAAUUGCUGUUAAUUGAGUUAAUUUUCAGUUGUUGUUGAUCAAUUUCAUGAUCAUGUUGUUUGGGUUGCCGCGGAGAUUGUGAAUUGGAUAACGUUGUUGUCAUUUUCUUGUGGUUCGCGUGUUUAAUUGAGUAUCCCUUUUAUCAGAGAUAAUUGAGAGUUUUUGAGGGAUAUAGAGAGGGAUGAUGUGUGACUGGCUGUUUGUAAUGUUAGGGGGGGAUAUAAUUUGAUUUUGAUACAGACUGCGGAUGUCAGAGUCAAACCUGUUAAUUUAUUGCCCGAUUAUGGUUAACCGUCUUAAUCUAGUGUAUAGGUUUAAGUUCAAGACGACAUCCAGGAUGUGGGGAAUACUAUCUUAUCCUAGUGAUGAAUAUGCAGAUUGUUUGAUUAAAUUAAGAUCUUAGAAUGGCAGAUUCAUGGGAAGGGUGUAAUGGAGAUCCUAGUAGUUGGUGAUGUGUUGUGCAUUCGCGGGAGUCUGGCCUACUUUCGGCUCUAUUUUGGAGAAUGUGAAUCAUAUUUAUGUGUCUGCAAGUCGAAUGUUGAUUUUUUUUAAGGGUCCACUUGGGUAUAAGGAUUCGCCUUGCCCUUAGUUUUGGUUAGUGGUCUUUUAUACACAGCCUUAUAUUUUAAUUGAUGUAUAAUUGAGCAAUUGUAUUUCGCAAUUGUAUUUCUCCUCCUUCUGUAUUGCAUAUCUACUUCUUAGGAUUGAUGAGAUAUUGCCGGAGAAGCUAAGUAUUGUAUAUUCUUGCUACGUGAAAGGUAACAGAGAUUGGACUUGGAUUGACUGGAUUUGGCAUUUCUUUACCAUCUUGGGGGUUGUUUUCUUGUUUGACAAGGGGUGUCUUGCCAUGGGAAAUAGGAUAAUCCAGUCCGCAGACAGUUAGAGAAAGUGACGGAGCAAAGUAUCUCAUCUGCGAGAAAUUAUUUAGAUAAUGGUGGGAUGUGGAGUGCUAGAGGUAUGGAUGAUAGGGGUGCAUCAAAAUACAGUAUGAGCAUUACCAUGUAUCGUAGUGGAGCUAAAGGAUAUGGAAGACCAAGAACUGCUCCACCUGAUCUCCCUUCCUUGAUUUUCGAUACAAGGAUUGUUUAUCUUGUCAUGCCAGUAAGACCUUGUUAUUACUCCCUCCGUCCCGGAAUACUUGACCUGUUUUCCUUAUCGGGCCGUCCCUUAAUACUUGACCUGUUUCUAAAAAUGGAAAUAUUCUAACAAUAUUAUAUUAUUUCUCACUCCACCCCUAUUAACCCACCUACCCCCUACUCUAUACAAAAAAUAAUUAAAAAUUCAACCCCUACUCUCUCCCAACCCCACCUCUUAACCCACCUCCCACUAACUACAUUAAAAUAAUACCCCACUAUCAACUACUACCUAUUAAAUUAAAUAAGUCAAUUCAAGUCCCUUAAACUCUGUGCCGGUCAAACCGGGUCGAGUAUUCCGGGACGGAGGGAGUAAUAAUUUUUAUAUUGAAGUUGACAAUUUUCGAUAAUACUUCAGUCUUUGCUUCUAAUUGUUUCUCUCUGUACUCAGAUUGUGCCUGCAGUUACUAAGCUUAUUAUUGGUUUUGUUCUCUCUCUAUCUGUCGCUGAUGGAAUUCUAGGUGGUGUUAUAAAUCACAGACACCUUAGAGUUAUCUCUUGAUCCAGAUUUGUUUGCUUCUGAGUUGAGGCCAGCGCAUCAGCAAGACUUCGAACCUCAACAAUCAUCGCCACUACAUCAUUAAGCUUGUUAACUGUAGACCCAACACCCUAUUUUUCAAGUGGAAAAUGGAUUAAUCAUGUGAAAAAUCUUACAUCUACACGUCAUCUAUUAAGAAGUGAAGUAAUUUUUAAAGAUACAGUCCAGAGUCUGAAGAGUACAUACCACACCAGCAGCCCCUGCAGUAAUGGCCAUAGGAUUUGUAACGGCGCUUAAACUCGACGAGCACAUGACUGGGAUUGUAACCGCUGUGGAGAUUUAGUAUGCUGCUGCUAAUGUGGGUGUUGCCUGAAAUUAUUGCAACUUGCGUUUAGUUAUGGUCAUUAUUUUUGUUGCACUCCAAGUUUUAAAUGAUAGGUCGUUCAUACCUUCUCAAUUAAAGCCAGAACCCCAGGCUUCGAAGGGGUUGAGUAUUUCCCCCCUUCUGUUUAACAUCAGCGACAGUUACUGAGGAAAAAAAAUUUCGUCUUAUUUGUAUUAUGAAUAUAAUUUUAAUAAGAAAGAGUACAUUUAUCUA